CUUUUAUUCAUUUAUUAGUAUAUCAGUGGAGGUCUGGUUUAUCUUAAAUAACAAAACCGUUUCAACUAAACAGUAUUAAAGGACAUAACUCUUUAAUGGAAGAAAAAUGUAUGUAAUUGCAUGUUUUAACACAUGGUUUCAAUAUGUAUUGAGCAAUUUACCAUACCACCUUCAACAAUGGGAAAAAGCCAUACUCCAUAUAGUAAGCGAUAUGCUUUUAAUU
rnacentral:lncRNA from 1 species